GCCAGAGGUCAGCGCCUACGGUAUCCGAGGAUCAGGAUGGGGAGGAGGCCAAGCAGCAGGCUGCAAUAACGAGUGUCUUAGCUUCAAGAGGCCCAGGCUGGCAAAUAGCCAGAAGCCAGGGAGGUCACUCCAGGUAGAAAAAUUGAGACAAAAAUUUCAGAAGUCUCUGGGACAUUUUGACACACAUAUAUGAUGUAUACUGCUCAAAUCUGAUACCCCAGACACUGAACUAAGUCUUUGUAAUGAAAAUAUUCCAAAUCUGUUCAGAUUUUCCCCUUGAUUCUGUGCAGUGCUGGGGCUGGACCCUGAGCCUCAUGGUGCUAUGGUCAAGCUGCUGAGUCAUGCACACAUCUCUCUAGCUUCUGAGACACCCAAUACACGUGUGGCCUAACCAGCCUCCCAGGGUUGUUCCUUUCUACCUAAGCCACUCUGAGCUUCUCAUUUCAUGGGAUCAAACAGGGCCCAGCCCAGAACAGAGUUGAAGAGAAUGAUUCCGUAGGACCUGGUGUAGGCGGCAAACUUUUUUUUUUUUUUUUGGUAAAUGAAAGAAUUAAUCAGAGGGAAAUGAUGAAAACUCAGAUCAACCUUCAUGACGAAAGUUGUUGACAUUCAUUGGUCAGGGAGGUGGUGCCCCAAGACCCAGAGGCACAGCUUCUGAACUUGCAGAGGAAUGCAAAUUACGUGGUUUGGGGGAUGGCACAGCUAGGGUACAGAAGGAAGAGCGGAGGGUAUUGUCAGGGGCAGAGCGAGGAAGUGAACUGCUUUUCUGCAUGAACUGUUUCUUGGAAUGGCUGGAUGAAAGAUAGACUACUUCUAUGUAGUCCUGGCUUCCUAGACCUUGCUGUGUAGCUAGACACACAUCAGACUCGCAGAGAUCCACCUGCCUCUGCUUCCCGACUGCUGGGAUUGAAGCCCCAAGUCAAGGAACAGGAGAAUUAAGGAAAGUCCAGUUCAAAACGCACCUGACACCCAGAAUGGGCUGAGUUUCGCAGUGUUACUAUACUAUGUUGGAGAAAACACUCCAAGCACUUAAGAGAUUAAUAAAGGGAAAACUGAA